rnacentral:misc_RNA from 1 species
GUUAGCUUUUUUUCCCCCUUUUAAUAUAGCCUUUUAUGAUGGAAAUGCCAGAUGCUAAUGUCUCUGAAGGAUUUUUCUUCAAUCUAUUUUUCCAUUACUAUAUCCAUAUUUAUUCCCGUAUGCGGCAUGCAAUGAGCUUUCUCUGAUCCCUCAUGUAUUUUGAAUUUUGAUCUAGUAGAUUGAUGAUUAGUUUUGUUACAGUUAUCUUGCAGAAACACCUGAU